GACCGUUUCACCAAUCGAACCACCCAGGCAUCUCAGGAGUGGAGGAAUUCUUGCCUUUUCCAAAGAUUGCACCGCGUUAUCCCCUGGAAUCAUGCGGCUGUGAUCGGUGUUGGUGAGGAAGAUGGUGGUAGGUCUGGUGCUGGGCUGCGCUGGAGAGAGCCAAGCAGCGCACAUCUGACCCUCAGUGGGGUCAGGAGACGCGAGGGCCAUACAUGCGAAUGGGAAAAGCACUGCAUGGUCUCCAUCCUCCAAAAGCUCAUCAUCAAAAUAAGGAGAGGAAAUAAUGCAACCACAUAAAUACAAACAAAAGGCUAAACUACGCAGAAAUUAAAAACAGCAAUAGGAAUUUACAGAACUUCCCUGAAAGCUUUGGCUUUCAGCCACAGGCCACCUGAAGAUACAGAGAGUACUAUCUGGACAAUGGCCAGUGAUAUAUCUUCCCAGAGACCUUGGUAAGCUGACCCCAUGCCAGUUCCUAGACUCCUGGGCUCAGCAGUCAGACUCUGUCCUUAACAAAAGCAAACUCACUUCUUCCUGUAGAGGCAAUCUCACUUUAUCAGUGCCCCAGGAUGGAUCAAAAUCAGAAUGCCAGAUUAUCACUUGACAAUGGGAAAUAUAUCUGCUCCGCAGAUAGGGCAUCUGUGUCUACACGGUUGGGAACUAGCUCCCGGGGACACUGGCCUCCAUGGCGCACUGAAACACAAUUAGAAGGCUACUUGGUGAGAAGAGAAUUAGAAGGAAAGUAACCAGCUGAAUCCAGUGUUUGACAGAAAGGACUGAAGUAGCCAGAUCCAUCCAUCUCCCCAACAGGCACAGCCUCACUAGUGGGCUUAACGCUCAUAUGCUGCUUGAGGGGCCAUCUCCACUCUUGGGGAAGCCUAGGAUGGGCACGGCCCAUGGUGGGCUCUUCCUCGCCAUUUCUAUGGUUUUCUACUGACCAACCUUCCUGCAGACAGACAUGUUUCUCUUUAGCAGUUCAUAUAUCCAGUCCAUUUUUACUUAAGUCCGAUAAACCAGGAAGCCACUUGAUGCUUACAUAGCUCUGCUCUGCUCCAUGUGUUGAUGUUUGGUGUUUCUCUCUCGGGGAGCUGCCUUUUAAAAAGUUAUUUACCUUAUUAUUGUUUUCAAGGGAGGGGAAUGCAUCAAUAUGGACCCUAAGAAAUGGUGACAAAUCUCACAGAAGGACUAGGACCAGGAGGGCUGGAGAAUUCAGGGAAGGCUUUUUGGAGAAUGAUGAACUUGCGUUGGCUUUUGAGACUCAUGGAUGGCUGAUGGUUCCAGGAGGGCGGAGAGACUUUCUCUGUCAUCAUUUCAGCCAAGGAAAGAAAUCAGUGGCAGUCUGAGACUCAUGGACAGAGAUCACAAGUAAGCAGAGAGGCAGGCAGAG